rnacentral:rRNA from 1 species
GACGAACGCUGGCGGCGUGCUUAACACAUGCAAGUCGAACGAUGAAGCGGUGCUUGCACCGUGGAUUAGUGGCGAACGGGUGAGUAAUACGUGAGUGACCUACCUUUGACUCUGGGAUAAGCCUGGGCAACUGGGUCUAAUACCGGAUACGACCAAUGUCUGCAUGGGGUGUUGGUGGCACGCGUUAUGGAGUGGUUUUAGAUGGGCUCACGGCCUAUCAGCUUGUUGGUGGGGUAAUGGCUUACCAAGGCGACGACGGGUAGCCGGCCUGGGAGGGUGAACGGGGACACGGGGACUGAGAGAGGGCGCAGUGGCCAACGUUAGGCAGUAGUGGGAAGUAUGGCACAGCGGGGGCGCGCGCGAUACGGAGACGCUGGGUGUGGAAUGAGGGCCUUUGGGGUGCGAAACGCUGUUAGCUAAGAAGGAGCGAAAGUGACGGUAGCGGAAGAGAAAGCACCGGCUAACUACGUG